AUACGGAGGGAGCGAGCGUUAAUCGGAAUUACUGGGCGUAAAGCGCGCGUAGGCGGCUUUGUAAGUCGGAUGUGAAAGCCCUGGGCUCAACCUGGGAAUGGCAUUCGAUACUGCAUGGCUAGAGUAUGGUAGAGGGAAGUGGAAUUUCCGGUGUAGCGGUGAAAUGCGUAGAUAUCGGAAGGAACACCAGUGGCGAAGGCGACUUCCUGGGCCAAUACUGACGCUGAGGUGCGAAAGCGUGGGGAGCAAACAGGAUUAGAUACCCGGGUAGUCC
rnacentral:rRNA from 1 species